rnacentral:rRNA from 1 species
GCAGUGAGGAAUAUUGGACAAUGGGCGCAAGCCUGAUCCAGCCAUGCCGCGUGCAGGAUGACGGUCCUAUGGAUUGUAAACUGCUUUUAUACGGGAAGAAACCCUGGCUCGUGAGCCAGAUUGACGGUACCGUAGGAAUAAGGAUCGGCUAACUCCGUGCCAGCAGCCGCGGUAAUACGGAGGAUCCAAGCGUUAUCCGGAAUCAUUGGGUUUAAAGGGUCCGUAGGCGGCCUCGUAAGUCAGUGGUGAAAUCUCCCGGCUCAACCGGGAAAUUGCCAUUGAUACUGCAGGGCUUGAAUUAUUAGGAAGUAACUAGAAUAUGUAGUGUAGCGGUGAAAUGCUUAGAUAUUACAUGGAAUACCGAUUGCGAAGGCAGGUUACUACUAAUAUAUUGACGCUGAUGGACGAAAGCGUGGGUAGCGAACAGGAUUAGA